GUAACAGUGCCAGAGAUUUAUGGGCUUGGUUUAGGACCAAGUUACGGUUAUUUAACCCCGUUACU
rnacentral:tRNA from 1 species